rnacentral:lncRNA from 1 species
GCACGCCGUCGGCCGUCACACCACAUCCAAGACUUGCACAUCACAAGCCAAGAGCAACAUCAAACCAACACAACAUUGUCAAUCACUCAUUAUCUAAGGGUGACCACCAUUGGUCGUCAUAUGGACUUAGUGUUGAUGAGUAAUUCAGAUCCAAUCUACUAAGCAUGUAUAGACAUAUAAUAGAUAGAGCAGAGGUAACAAAUCUAGAGCAACCUAGACUAUGCAUAUGUUGUAAUUCUUGGCAUGGAUAGCAAAGAAACACAUAUAUGAUGUUAGUACAAAGCAUAUUUAAAUCUACACCUCCAGUCCAGCUCCCGAAACCCCCCAC